UUCUGAUUUGCUCCGGUGUCA
ensembl:piRNA 21ur-14319 ncRNA